GUUGAUAUCAAGAAUACAUAUCCUGCGAAUGAAUAAAAGUCAAUUCGGCUUGCCAUAGCCAGCGAGUCUGAGCCAAUCACAAAGUUCAGAACGACUGACGCACAUACGUCAUAUACUUGCAGGCCUUUGUGACGCGCGAGUCGUGAAUCAACUGAUGUUGUGUUUAAAUGAACUCUCUGCGUGAUUUCCCAAGAUUUCCACGCCACGAAAUGUAUGAGGAAAUGUCAGUAGAAAGAAACUGGACGGACACCGAGACGAGAGCGCUGCUGUACAUACGACAGGACGAAGAUAUCAGCAGGCAAAUCAGCGGAACGGUUCGCGAUUCUCUUAUUUACGCUGAAAUCUCAAGGCUUCUCCGCGCGCAAGGUAUCCACAGAACCAAGCGGCAGGUCACCACCAAACUGAAAACACUCAAGCAGAAGUUCCUGAAAAUACACGAGCAUCACAAAAACAACGGGCACGGCAGAGUGUACUGGAAUUAUUAUGAUCUCUGCACGUCCAUUUGGGGCAGCAACCGCCCCGCGGACGCUUUAAUACUUCACAGCAACGUGAAACUCGAAGAGCCGCAGAGUACGUCCAUUGAGGACGCGCGAAAUGAGCGCAGAUCCACCGACAUCGAGGAGGUGUCGGUCAGUCACGACGAGGAGACGGAGGACGUGGCAGACGUGGUCGCUCAACCUGUGAGGAAGAAGGCCAAAAAACGUUCAAUUACCGACUCUGUGAGAGCUCAAGAACCUCUCCACGUGCAAAACCGGAGGGAGUAUGAGGAACGAUUGCGCAGGGAAGCCAGAGAGGAACAGAAGGAGGAACGGGCGAGUCUGAUGGCCAUGUGGAAGGAGAUGAUGGAGUUUCAAGGGAACCUCUUAAAGGAGUUCAUACACCUCCCAUCUCUUCCUUCACAUCCAUCUUACCACAGACAUGCUCUUCACAACCAAGCACUCUCUAGUUUUCCAAGCACUAGCUACAUGCUCCCGUACGACUCGCCAGGAGCUGAAACUGAGAAUGAAAGUGCAAUCUCACAUGAAGAAGAGGAGGAGGAGGAAGAGAAAUACGUUAUUCCAGCUGAGAUUGCACCUGUUAACUGUGGAAACGACAGCCAAUCAAACACAGCAGAGACUGUUUCACCCCCGCCUACACAAUCAGCAGGAAAGAGCGAUCUGGAGAUGUCUGUGCUACGCAGACAGGAAAGAGUCUUACAGCUUCAGGAAGAGUACUAUUCACUCAAAAUCAACUAUUUGAAACACAAGAUGACCAAGGAUCCAUGACAGAAUGCUAAAGAGGAGUGUUAACUCUUUUGCUCUUUCAGUCUGUGAAAACUUGCAAUGUAGAUGUUCUCAGCUGGACUGUGGAAAAUACUGGUGUGUAUGCGUCUGCACACCUCAUAUUCCUUAUAACUCUUAUUACAUAUUUUAACCAGUAGAUGGCUAGGUGGUCACUUCAUAUUUCCUGGUGUCAUUAGACAUGUGCAAGACAGAUUUACAGCUAAGGCUUGGUUUUUCUUUAAAUAUAUGAAUAUUUAUAUACAUUUGCUCAUUUUUAUGGCAGUUUACUAGCAGGUGUUUUUGAGGCAUUAUUUAGCAAAACUCUCCAUUUUCUCCACUAAACGUUACUGGUCUUAUUAUAAAAGAUUUAGUUUGUUGUGUAACAAUCAAUCACACAAUUAUGUCACAAUCAAUUUCUGAUGGAUAACAGUCUUGCUUUUUCUUCCCAUCUGAGGUUCUGUUUAGCACAUUAUGGCUGUAAAAUGGGUUGCAAAUGCAGUUUAAUGUUGACUAUAGGAACUACCCUGAGCUAGAUGUUACACUUCUACUGUGGAGUAUGUCUGUUACCAUUAUUUUUCAUUAAAUUAAUGAAAACCAGCGAGGAGUCAGAAACAGUAUGCAAAAUACUAAAUCAAAAGCAAAAGUCUUUUUCAAAGAAUUGUUUAAAGCAGGGAUUCCCAAACUCUUUUUUUAGUCAAACCCCCUUUGAACUAAAAUAUUUUCUUGAGAUUUUAAUUUAUUUGAAGAUUGCAUGUUCACGGUUCUGUGAUGUCAGUUAAUGGUCACAUGGCAUGCAGGUAAACAAAUAAAAUAUUGUUUUUAUUUUGAAGGUAUUUAUUUAAUUUGCAUUAUAAUUUAUAUAUAUAUAUAUAUAUAUAUAUAUAUAUAUAUAUAUAUAUAUAUAUAUAUAUAUAUAUAUAUAUAUAUAUAUUGGCUUUUCAAUAUCUCUCAACCCUCUGUGGUUCCUUUGUGUUCAAAGGAACAAUUAAUCUGCAUACAAAAAAAGAAAAAUCUGUUGUUCUGAACCCUUAUGCUGUUAUUUGUUCUGUACACAGCUCUUACAACAUCUGUCAAGCUUUGAAAGGGACCAAAAGCACACAAGUCGUGUGGAGUAUUUUGUGUUCCCUUAUGUCUGUCAAACUCCAAAAAAACUCUUUUUAAGCUUGACAAACCCAGGUCACUGUGAACUGUCAGUGUGUGGCAAGAGCUGUGCAACACUUCUUCCAAAAUGUCUACAUUUGUGUUUCACAGAAAAAAAAAUAAGAGCAUACAGGUUUGGAAUAACAUGAGUAAAUAAUGACAGGAUUUUAUGUUAUAGCUCCAAAAGCUCCAGCUAUAUAUAUAUAUAUAUAUAUAUAUAUAUAUAUAUAUAUAUAUAUUUUUUAUUAUUCUUCAGUGUUCUUUUCUGUUCAUUAUCACUCUCUUUCUCUUGUAUUUUCACUUCCAUCUCUCUGUUGUUUCCAGUCUCCCUCCUGCUAUUACUUCUCACAUGAAGACAUUAAUGUUUAUACGACAGACCUGUCUUUUGUUCAGUGUUUUUGUUUUAAAAUGAUGUUUGAUGCCAAGUUGGCUGGGAUUUUCCCUUUCUUUAUUGUUAAUUUAUAAUUUUUUGUUUCAGUCUUUUGUGGAGAAAAAGUUUAUAGAUCUGAACAUGAAGGUAAAAAAAACAACAACAGUAAAUUAAAAGAUUUCCAAUUAUAAGGAAUGUUUUGGAUUACAUACAAAUCAAUACCUAGAGCUUUAUAGAGCUUAUAUCUAUAACAUGCUGUUGAUUAUAUAAUCACAAAUAUACAUUUUAUUUAAUGUAUUUGGGGCAGAUGCUUUUAUUCAAAGCAACUUGCAUUAAAGCAUGUAUUUAAUACAAAUCCACAUUUUUUAAAGUUAAUGCGAUACGCUGAGAACUGAACCCAUGAUCUCAGUGUUGUUAAUGCACGCUCUACUGUUUGGGCUAUAGGAAUGGAGCUAAUCAUUUUGAAUUGUCCUUAAAUUUGUAAAAACAAGUUACAGUUGGUCAGUAAUGCAUUACCAGUAGUAUACAUAUAUGUAAAGAAUUCAUAUAAGUGCUUUAAAAACAAAAAUACAAGCUGCAUAUUUUAUGCUUUUAAUCCCACAAACGUUUAUGUAUCGGCAUCUGUGGUUCCAUGAAGAACUUUUAACAUCCAUGGAAACUUUCCAUUGUACAAAAGGAAAAGUGUUCUUUAGAUUUUUAAAUUGUCCUUCACACUAUGAAAACUAACAAAAAAAAAAAAAAAAAAACUGAAAGGUUCUUUGGGGAACCAAAAAUUGUUCUUCUCUGGAAUCACUGUGAAAACCCCUUUGGAAGUUUUAUUUGUAAGAGUGCACCAGUUCAUUCAUGUAAAUAUGCUGUACACUUUUUUUCCUUUAACUGGCAGAUGAGAUGAAAUUGUCUGUGAUAAUCAAUGAAAUGCCACAAAUGUCAUUCAUAGAUAAUAUGUUUCAUUGAACUUUUACAACUGAAAGUUUGUUGGAAGCAUUAAGUCUGCAGCAGAAAGUACAUAUUGUAACCUUGAAGUAUUUGUCAGGGCUUCAUAAAACACAACAAGUCUAAGGGGCUUUUUUGGUAAAGCCGAAUGUUCUAUGAAAUGACACCCCUGUGAAAGCAGAAAGUAAGUAAUUAAUAAAUAACCGGAAUAAAUAUAUAAAAAC
ensembl:lncRNA